AGAGGAGUGGCAGAGUGGUCGAAUGCACCGGUCUUGAAAACCGGCGUACCGAGAGGUACCGGGGGUUCGAAUCCCUCCUCCUCUG
rnacentral:tRNA from 3 species